UGGGGAAUUUUGGACAAUGGGCGAAAGCCUGAUCCAGCAAUGCCGCGUGUGUGAAGAAGGCCUUCGGGUUGUAAAGCACUUUUGUCCGGAAAGAAAUCCUUGGCUCUAAUACAGUCGGGGGAUGACGGUACCGGAAGAAUAAGCACCGGCUAACUACGUGCCAGCAGCCGCGGUAAUACGUAGGGUGCAAGCGUUAAUCGGAAUUACUGGGCGUAAAGCGUGCGCAGGCGGUUUGCUAAGACCGAUGUGAAAUCCCCGGGCUCAACCUGGGAACUGCAUUGGUGACUGGCAGGCUAGAGUAUGGCAGAGGGGGGUAGAAUUCCACGUGUAGCAGUGAAAUGCGUAGAGAUGUGGAGGAAUACCGGUGGCGAAGGCAGCCCCCUGGGCCAAUACUGACGCUCAUGCACGAAAGCGUGGGGAGCAAACAGGAUUAGAUACCCUGGUAGUCCACGCCCUAAACGAUGUCAACUAGUUGUUGGGGAUUCAUUUCCUUAGUAACGUAGCUAACGCGUGAAGUUGACCGCCUGGGGAGUACGGUCGCAAGAUUAAAACUCAAAUGAAUUGACGGGGUCAUAGCUGUUUCCU
rnacentral:rRNA from 1 species